rnacentral:rRNA from 1 species
UACAGAGGGGGCAAGCGUUAUUCGGAAUUAUUGGGCGUAAAGGGCGCGUAGGCGGCUUUGCAAGUGGCGGGUGAAAUCCCUCGGCUUAACCGGGGAACUGCGUCUGAUACUGGAUGGCUUGAGUUCGGGAGAGGGAUGCGGAAUUCCAGGUGUAGCGGUGAAAUGCGUAGAUAUCUGGAGGAACACCGGUGGCGAAGGCGGCAUCCUGGACCGACACUGACACUGAGGAGCGAAAGCCAGGGGAGCAAACGGG